rnacentral:rRNA from 1 species
GGGGAAACCCAGUGUGUUCCGACACACUAUCGUUAACUGAAUACAUAGGUUAACGAGGCGAACCGGGGGAACUGAAACAUCUAAGUACCCCGAGGAAAAGAAAUCAACCGAGAUUCCCCCAGUAGCGGCGAGCGAACGGGGAGCAGCCCGGAGUCUGAAUCAGCUUGUGUGUUAGUGGAACGGUCUGGAAAGUCCGACGGUACAGGGUGAUAGUCCCGUACACGAAAAUGCACAUGCUGUGAACUCGAAGAGUAGGGCGGGACACGUGGUAUCCUGUCUGAAUAUGGGGGGACCAUCCUCCAAGGCUAAAUACUCCUGACUGACCGAUAGUGAACCAGUACCGUGAGGGAAAGGCGAAAAGAACCCCGGCGAGGGGAGUGAAAAAGAACCUGAAACCGUGUACGUACAAGCAGUGGGAGCACCUUCGGGUGUGACUGCGUACCUUUUGUAUAAUGGGUCAGCGACUUAUAUUCUGUAGCAAGGUUAACCGUAUAGGGGAGCCGAAGGGAAACCGAGUCUUAACUGGGCGUUAAGUUGCAGGGUAUAGACCCGAAACCCGGUGAUCUAGCCAUGGGCAGGUUGAAGGUUGGGUAACACUAACUGGAGGACCGAACCGACUAAUGUUGAAAAAUUAGCGGAUGACCUGUGGCUGGGGGUGAAAGGCCAAUCAAACCGGGAGAUAGCUGGUUCUCCCCGAAAGCUAUUUAGGUAGCGCCUCGUGAACUCAUCUUCGGGGGUAGAGCACUGUUUCGGCUAGGGGGCCAUCCCGGCUUACCAACCCGAUGCAAACUACGAAU